GAUGAAGAACGUAGCGAAAUGCGAUAAGUAAUGCGAAUUGCAGAAUUCAGUGAAUCAUCGAAUCUUUGAACGCACAUUGCGCCCGCCAGUACUCUGGCGGGCAUGCCUGUCUGAGCGUCAUUUCAACCCUCGCGCCCGGCUUCUGUCGGGGGCGGUGUUGGGGAUCGGCCUCCCGUCUUCCGGGCGGCCGGCCCCUAAAUGGAGUGGCGACCGCGCCGUAGCCUCCUCUGCGUAGUAGUGAAACACUCGCGGGCGGAGAGCGGUGCGGCCCGCCGUAAAACCCACAACUCUUCUAAGGUUGACCUCAGAUCAGGUAGGAAUACCCGCUGAACUUAAGCAUAUCAAUAAGCGGAGGA
rnacentral:misc_RNA from 1 species